rnacentral:lncRNA from 1 species
AUCCACGGUGGUACAGUUACUAUUACACACCUAAAUUAUAAAUUUGUCCAUUCUUUCUUUUGACUUUCCAUUAUUCUCCCACCACCUCUCCCCAUUUGUCUCCGGUGGCCUUGCUGCUGUUUUGAACCACCGAUCCACCACCUCCGCUCCCCCACCACAAUGGUGCUGCUAGCAUCUCCAUUGAUUGUUCCUCACCACGAUGGAGAGAGAUUCUAAGAUGUCACAUAGUAUCUGCUUGUGCUAAACCACAAAUUAUUUAAUUAUUAUUAUUGUGUUUUCUACAUAAUCGUUGGAAUUGGCAUUAUUGUGUUUUCUACAUAAUCGUUGGAAUUGGCUUUGGUGAUUACUGGUGUCAAGUUUUAUAUAUUCCCAGCGCCAUGACUACAACUGAAGUCAGAGCCAAUUUCUCCAGGUUCAAAGCCAUUUGCAGAUCUCAUUAUUUAUUCUCACAUCUGUUUGAGGUUGUUGCUAGAAUUGGGGAUCUGCAACCCUAAAUCCCCAAAUUCGGAACCGCCAAGCACAGCAGCAACGCCGUCGCCGUCACCGACAACCAGUCCUCAUCUUCAUCCUCACUCCACAACGUCUACUCUGCUCCGACAUUGUCGAUCACCCCGUGAAUCCCCAAAACGNNNN